GCGGCGGCGGUUCUGGGCCGCAGGUCCGGCCGCCUGGCCCAAAUCACGCCCUCAUCAGCCCUGGAGCUGCUAGCAGAGAGGUCUUUCUGGGCCUUCGGCGCCAGACAGGUUUUUGCCUUCCCUCGAAGCCCUCUCUGAAGGGAAUCGGAGCAUUUAAAAGACCACACCAAGGGAGCUUGAGCCUGGUGGGAUGGCUGUGCUUGCUUGGGACUUUUGUAUUUAUGCCUUUUGAAGGUAAACCAAGGAACAGGAAAGGAAAAGAAUGUUUGGGCCUCAGAUUUAAAUUUAAAUAUAUUUUAAAAAUGACAAGUCUCAACAUGUGAGCCAAUUGAAUAUCUGGCAGACAACUGGCCUGCUUGGUUUUGCUCUUAUAUGACAUCCAGUAUCUCUCAGAUUCUUAGCAUUGUUAACAUAGGGGACAGGCAGAGGAAGGAAGAAACUUAUUACUCCAUGAAAAUAGAUAUGGGUUCCAUUUGGGUUUAAACAGAAGACUUAAUCCCAGGAUGAGCAGAAAAAAGCUCAACAUCCAUCUAAGUGACUCUGAUUGCACCACCAUCCUUACUCUGCAUUGCAAGUACCAAAUUUCAUUAUAAAUUCAAGAGAAAUAAAAACUUCAGAUCCAAAUAUACAUAAAUCACUUGUAAUAUUUUAAAGUCAAGAAGUAAAGUCUUAUCCUCUAGACUUUUCACUAUUCAUAUAAUUUUCCACAAGUUGAGAAAAAGCUAUUUGCUUCAAAUGCUAAUUUGUGAUAAAUCAGAAGUAUAAAUGUUAGCAAAUAGGGAACUUAACUGUGUGCCAAAAAAGGUAACAAUAGAAAAUAAAACCCUUUUUACUUGAAAAUGUCAUUACAGUUCAAAAACAUUUUCAGAAAACAGAAAACUCAUAGCAACAAUUUUUUAAAUCUUCACACAUACACACACUAGGUUUCUCAGUCAUUAAUCAAAAGCCCUGAAGGAUAUGUGAUACAUUCACAAUCAUUCAAACUAGGACAAGCCUACUAUAGAAUUUCUUUUACUUUAAAAAAAAAAAAUCAAGCUAAUUUUCCAUAAAAUAUAGUUAUUUAAUUUAUAAUACCUACUGAAGAUGAUUGCUAGUUCCACAAAGCAUAAUUUAAAACCUUCCAAAGUUACAUAAGGGAGGAAAUCCAAUUAAUUUUUCUAUUCCAGAGACUCAGUGUAGACUCGCUUUUUUAUGGGUUUAUAACCUGGAUACAAGCUGUCAACUGGAGAAAUAGGCCAACGGUGUUGCUUUUGUGGUUUUUAGUUAUCUGUGUGGCACUGAGAAGCAUUUUCUUUAAUAUCAGUAAAGCUCCAUGAUAUACGAUUUUUGCAUUCAGAAACUGAUAUGUCAAAUCUUCAUUUAUUUUUGAAGUUAUUUUUUUAAAGACCUUGUUGAAAACAUGUCCACAUUAGCAAAGUCUUUUUAAAAAGCUGUAUUAUUAGGGUUUCAAGUAGACUUUAGAUGUACAUUUUCAUAUAAACCUAAAUUCCACAGCAGCUCUGACAUUGAGAUUUGAGUAAUGCAUGUUGUGCUUUUAUCUUUAAAGAAUAUAUUCUGCAACCUACAUGCCAUUAUGAAAAUCUAUCCAAAUCCUGUCUAUCAAGAAGAAACAUCAUUUCUUAUGGGAUUUCUCUUACCAUUUUUUUUUUUAAGAUGCAGAUAUUACCUUGGGUCAGUUUUUAUUUAUGGGGCUUUCAUUUGGGCAGAUUGUGAGAAAUACCUUGUUAUCACAGUCCUUAUAAGUCUCAUACAUAUAAGCAAAUAAUGCAAACAAAUAUAAUUGAACUAUCAGUUGAUGUAGUCCCAUAUCCUUACUGGUUAAACUUAUAUAUCUUCUUUUAUUAAUUUGUUCCAUAUGAAAUUCAAUUUAUCCAGGGGUUUUGCCACAGACUAAAAAGGGCAAUUUUUAAAAUUGGCUUUACAUAUUUAAAAUUAAAGUCUUUAAAUCAACAUUAUUUUAUUACUGUUGAACUAUGAUCAGAAUCACAGCAUUGUAUAAGCAAUAAUAAAACCUCCUCUAGAAUCUCCUGCUUCUGUUUUAUUUCUUGAAUUUACCCCAGGAAAUAUGUAGAGUGUUGUACUUUCUUUUCCUUCAGAAAUAAAAGGUUGAUGAAGGAAAA